rnacentral:rRNA from 1 species
GUUUGAUCCUGGCUCAGAAUCAGCGCUGGCGGCGUGCCUAACACAUGCAAGUCGAACGAGAAAGUGGAGCAAUCCAUGAGUAAAGUGGCGCACGGGUGAGUAACACGUGACUAACCUACCCUUGAGUGGGGAAUAACCUAGGGAAACCUGGGCUAAUACCGCAUAACACCUACGGGUCAAAGGAGCAAUUCGCUUAAGGAGGGGGUCGCGGCAGAUUAGCUAGUUGGCGGGGUAAUGGCCCACCAAGGCAGUGAUCUGUAUCCGGCCUGAGAGGGCGCACGGACACACUGGAACUGAAACACGGUCCAGACUCCUACGGGAGGCAGCAGUGGGGAAUUUUGCGCAAUGGGGGAAACCCUGACGCAGCAACGCCGCGUGGAGGAUGAAGUCCCUUGGGACGUAAACUCCUUUCGACCGGGAAGAUUAUGACGGUACCGGAAGAAGAAGCCCCGGCUAACUUCGUGCCAGCAGCCGCGGUAAUACGAGGGGGGCAAGCGUUGUUCGGAAUUAUUGGGCGUAAAGGGUGCGUAGGCGGUUCGGCAAGUCUUGUGUGAAAUCUUCGGGCUCAACUCGAAGUCUGCACGAGAAACUGCCGGGCUUGAGUGUGGGAGAGGUGAGUGGAAUUUCCGGUGUAGCGGUGAAAUGCGUAGAUAUCGGAAGGAACACCUGUGGCGAAAGCGGCUCACUGGACCACAACUGACGCUGAGGCACGAAAGCUAGGGGAGCAAACAGGAUUAGAUACCCUGGUAGUCCUAGCCCUAAACGAUGAUCGCUUGGUGUGACGGGUACCCAAUCCCGCCGUGCCGAAGCUAACGCGUUAAGCGAUCCGCCUGGGGAGUACGGUCGCAAGGCUGAAACUCAAAGGAAUUGACGGGGGCCCGCACAAGCGGUGGAGCAUGUGGUUUAAUUCGACGCAACGCGAAGAACCUUACCUGGGCUCGAAUGUACAGGAAUCCGGUGGAAACAUCGGCGCCCGCAAGGGUCUGUAUAUAGUGCUGCAUGCUGUCGUCAGCUCGUGUCGUGAGAUGUUGGGUUAAGUCCCGCAACGAGCGCACCCUUAUUAACAGUUGCUACCAUUUA